rnacentral:rRNA from 1 species
CCGUGCCAGCAGCCGCGGUAAUACGGAGGGUGCGAGCGUUAAUCGGAAUUACUGGGCGUAAAGCGUACGUAGGCUGUUACUUAAGCCAGAUGUGAAAGCCCCGGGCUCAACCCGUGGGAAACUGCAUUUGGAACUGAAGUAGCUAGAAUGUGUGAGAGGUAAGGUGGAAUUUCCAGUGUAGCGGUGAAAAUGCGUAGAGAUUGGAAAGAACACCAGUGGCGAAGGCGACUUACCUGGCAUAACAUUGACGCUGAGGUACGAAAGCGUGGGUAGCAAACAGGAUUAGAUACCCUGGUAG